AGCUCCACAAGACUACCCCCUUCACAUGCCAGCAGCAAAUAUGGGGCCCAAGUUACCCACAUUUCUGCCCAGCUGACUACAAAUUCUGGUUUCCAUGACCCCCUCUCAGGUGACCAGUCCGCAUCCUGAUACUAUCUCGGAGUCCCCCAGCCAAGAAUCAUCUCAUCAGCAUAAACUCAGGCAAUGUUGAAAGGCAUUCAGAAUGGUACUGGCCAUGUAACAUCCUCAGGAAAAUGGAGAAAGGAGUCACAUCAUCUUCUGUGUUUGGAGACUGCUAUGUAAGCCAGAAUACUAGUCACACAGUGCAGGUGGGAGCGGCCGGGAAGUAACCUCCUUUUUUUUUAAGACUAAUACAUUUAUGGUAUACACCUGAA